ensembl:lncRNA
GAAGUGUCAAUCAUCUGCUCCUCCAAUCAGAGGUCAGUGUUCUGCUCCUCUGAGGGGGAUCAGCUCCUCUACAGCUGGACUCUGAAUGGAGAUCCACUGAUGGAAGGAAACAGCAGCAUUGAUCUGGAUGAGGGAACUGAUGGAGACAUCAGCUGCAGCGUGAAGAACCACGUCAGUCACGCACAGAAGACCAUUAGACUCGAACCCUGUCCUGGAACAACUGCAGCUGUGACCUCUAGUUUGACCUCUGCAGUGACCAGCAGCUCACACACAUCAGAAUGUGGUAUGAGUUUAACAAACACACCACUGGAAACAUGAUCGAUGUGUUUGUUUUGUCUAACUAUUAUUGUUCAGUGUGUUCAGUGUCUGUGGUGUUGAUUGAUUGAUUCAGAGCAUGACAGUUUAAUUUGAAUUAAAUGAACAUUAAGAUGAAUGAGAGCAUAUAGACG